rnacentral:rRNA from 1 species
AGUGAACGCUGGCGGUAGGCCUAACACAUGCAAGUCGAACGGCAGCACAGUAAGAGCUUGCUCUUACGGGUGGCGAGUGGCGGACGGGUGAGGAAUACAUCGGAAUCUACUUUUUCGUGGGGGAUAACGUAGGGAAACUUACGCUAAUACCGCAUACGACCUACGGGUGAAAGCAGGGGAUCUUCGGACCUUGCGCGAUUGAAUGAGCCGAUGUCGGAUUAGCUAGUUGGCGGGGUAAAGGCCCACCAAGGCGACGAUCCGUAGCUGGUCUGAGAGGAUGAUCAGCCACACUGGAACUGAGACACGGUCCAGACUCCUACGGGAGGCAGCAGUGGGGAAUAUUGGACAAUGGGCGCAAGCCUGAUCCAGCCAUACCGCGUGGGUGAAGGAGGCCUUCGGGUUGUAAAGCCCUUUUGUUGGGGAAGAAAAGCAGCAGGUUAAUACCCCGCUGUUCUGACGGUACCCAAAGAAUAAGCACCGGCUAACUUCGUG